AGUGAACGCUGGCGGUAGGCCUAACACAUGCAAGUCGAACGGCAGCACAGUAAGAGCUUGCUCUUACGGGUGGCGAGUGGCGGACGGGUGAGGAAUACAUCGGAAUCUACUUUUUCGUGGGGGAUAACGUAGGGAAACUUACGCUAAUACCGCAUACGACCUACGGGUGAAAGCAGGGGAUCUUCGGACCUUGCGCGAUUGAAUGAGCCGAUGUCGGAUUAGCUAGUUGGCGGGGUAAAGGCCCACCAAGGCGACGAUCCGUAGCUGGUCUGAGAGGAUGAUCAGCCACACUGGAACGGGGACACGGCCCAGACCCCUAGGGGAGGCAGCAGUGGGGAAUAUGGGAAAAGGGGGGCAAGCCUGAUCCAGCCAUACCGGGGGGGUGAAGAAGGCCUUCGGGUUGUAAAGCCCUUUUUUGGGGAAAGAAAAGCAGCAGGUUAAUACCCCGCUGUUCUGGCGGUACCAAAAGAAUAAGCACCGGCUAACUUCGU
rnacentral:rRNA from 1 species